GUGACUGCGUACCUUUUGUAUAAUGGGUCAGCGACUUAUAUUCUGUAGCAAGGUUAACCGAAUAGGGGAGCCGGAGGGAAACCGAGUCUUAAUUGGGCGUUAAGUUGCAGGGUAUAGACCCGAAACCCGGUGAUCUAGCCAUGGGCAGGUUGAAGGUUGGGUAACACUAACUGGAGGACCGAACCGACUAAUGUUGAAAAAUUAGCGGAUGACCUGUGGCUGGGGGUGAAAGGCCAAUCAAACCGGGAGAUAGCUGGUUCUCCCCGAAAGCUAUUUAGGUAGCGCCUCGUGAAUUCAUCUCCGGGGGUAGAGCACUGUUUCGGCUAGGGGGCCAUCCCGGCUUACCAACCCGAUGCAAACUGCGAAUACCGGAGAAUGUUAUCACGGGAGACACACGGCGGGUGCUAACGUCCGUCGUGAAGAGGGAAACAACCCAGACCGCCAGCUAAGGUCCCAAAGUCAUGGUUAAGUGGGAAACGAUGUGGGAAGGCCCAGACAGCCAGGAUGUUGGCUUAGAAGCAGCCAUCAUUUAAAGAAAGCGUAAUAGCUCACUGGUCGAGUCGGCCUGCGCGGAAGAUGUAACGGGGCUAAACCAUGCACCGAAGCUGCGGCAGCGAACGUAUCACCCAAGACAACUUUACGGAGUUGACGAUUGACGGAGCGAAGCGACGUCAAAGCGUUCAUUAAAGUCGAGUUGGCUUAGGGAUACGUUCGUUGGGUAGGGGAGCGUUCUGUAAGCCUGUGAAGGUGUGUCGUGAGGCAUGCUGGAGGUAUCAGAAGUGCGAAUGCUGACAUAAGUAACGAUAAAGCGGGUGAAAAGCCCGCUCGCCGGAAGACCAAGGGUUCCUGUCCAACGUUAAUCGGGGCAGGGUGAGUCGACCCCUAAGGCGAGGCCGAAAGGCGUAGUCGAUGGGAAACGGGUUAAUAUUCCCGUACUUGGUGUUACUGCGAAGGGGGGACGGAGAAGGCUAUGUUGGCCGGGCGACGGUUGUCCCGGUUUAAGCGUGUAGGUGUGUGUUCCAGGUAAAUCCGGUUCACUUUAACACUGAGGCGUGACGACGAGGCACUACGGUGCUGAAGCAACAAAUGCCCUGCUUCCAGGAAAAGCCUCUAAGCAUCAGGUAACAUCAAAUCGUACCCCAAACCGACACAGGUGGUCAGGUAGAGAAUACCAAGGCGCUUGAGAGAACUCGGGUGAAGGAACUAGGCAAAAUGGUGCCGUAACUUCGGGAGAAGGCACGCUGACACGUAGGUGAAGUGAUUUACUCAUGGAGCUGAAGUCAGUCGAAGAUACCAGCUGGCUGCAACUGUUUAUUAAAAACACAGCACUGUGCAAACACGAAAGUGGACGUAUACGGUGUGACGCCUGCCCGGUGCCGGAAGGUUAAUUGAUGGGGUCAGCGCAAGCGAAGCUCCUGAUCGAAGCCCCGGUAAACGGCGGCCGUAACUAUAACGGUCCUAAGGUAGCGAAAUUCCUUGUCGGGUAAGUUCCGACCUGCACGAAUGGCGUAAUGAUGGCCAGGCUGUCUCCACCCGAGACUCAGUGAAAUUGAACUCGCUGUGAAGAUGCAGUGUACCCGCGGCAAGACGGAAAGACCCCGUGAACCUUUACUAUAGCUUGACACUGAACAUUGAGCCUUGAUGUGUAGGAUAGGUGGGAGGCUUUGAAGUGUGGACGCCAGUCUGCAUGGAGCCGACCUUGAAAUACCACCCUUUAAUGUUUGAUGUUCUAACGUGGACCCGUAAUCCGGGUUGCGGACAGUGUCUGGUGGGUAGUUUGACUGGGGCGGUCUCCUCCUAAAGAGUAACGGAGGAGCACGAAGGUUGGCUAAUCCUGGUCGGACAUCAGGAGGUUAGUGCAAUGGCAUAAGCCAGCUUGACUGCGAGCGUGACGGCGCGAGCAGGUGCGAAAGCAGGUCAUAGUGAUCCGGUGGUUCUGAAUGGAAGGGCCAUCGCUCAACGGAUAAAAGGUACUCCGGGGAUAACAGGCUGAUACCGCCCAAGAGUUCAUAUCGACGGCGGUGUUUGGCACCUCGAUGUCGGCUCAUCACAUCCUGGGGCUGAAGUAGGUCCCAAGGGUAUGGCUGUUCGCCAUUUAAAGUGGUACGCGAGCUGGGUUUAGAACGUCGUGAGACAGUUCGGUCCCUAUCUGCCGUGGGCGCUGGAGAACUGAGGGGGGCUGCUCCUAGUACGAGAGGACCGGAGUGGACGCAUCACUGGUGUUCGGGUUGUCAUGCCAAUGGCACUGCCCGGUAGCUAAAUGCGGAAGAGAUAAGUGCUGAAAGCAUCUAAGCACGAAACUUGCCCCGAGAUGAGUUCUCCCUGAGACUUAGAGUCUCCUGAAGGAACGUUGAAGACGACGACGUUGAUAGGCCGGGUGUGUAAGCGCAGCGAUGCGUUGAGCUAACCGGUACUAAUGAACCGUGAGGCUUAACCUU
rnacentral:rRNA from 1 species